AGUUUUGUGCAGUGGCAAUAUUGUACCCAAUGAGGUUUAUCCAAGGCAUGAUUAUUGCUAAUUGAAACAUG
rnacentral:snRNA from 1 species